rnacentral:rRNA from 1 species
GGAGUGAAAUAGAACCUGAAACCGUGUGCUUACAAGUAGUCAGAGCCCGUUAAUGGGUGAUGGCGUGCCUUUUGUAGAAUGAACCGGCGAGUUACGAUUUGAUGCAAGGUUAAGCAGUAAAUGUGGAGCCGUAGCGAAAGCGAGUCUGAAUAGGGCGUUUAGUAUUUGGUCGUAGACCCGAAACCAGGUGAUCUACCCUUGGUCAGGUUGAAGUUCAGGUAACACUGAAUGGAGGACCGAACCGACUUACGUUGAAAAGUGAGCGGAUGAACUGAGGGUAGCGGAGAAAUUCCAAUCGAACCUGGAGAUAGCUGGUUCUCUCCGAAAUAGCUUUAGGGCUAGCCUCAAGUGAUGAUUAUUGGAGGUAGAGCACUGUUUGGACGAGGGGCCCCUCUCGGGUUACCGAAUUCAGACAAACUCCGAAUGCCAAUUAAUUUAACUUGGGAGUCAGAACAUGGGUGAUAAGGUCCGUGUUCGAAAGGGAAACAGCCCAGACCACCAGCUAAGGUCCCAAAAUAUAUGUUAAGUGGAAAAGGAUGUGGCGUUGCCCAGACAACUAGGAUGUUGGCUUAGAAGCAGCCAUCAUUUAAAGAGUGCGUAAUAGCUCACUAGUCGAGUGACACUGCGCCGAAAAUGUACCGGGGCUAAACAUAUUACCGAAGCUGUGGAUUGUCCUUUGGACAAUGGUAGGAGAGCGUUCUAAGGGCGUUGAAGCAUGAUCGUAAGGACAUGUGGAGCGCUUAGAAGUGAGAAUGCCGGUGUGAGUAGCGAAAGACGGGUGAGAAUCCCGUCCACCGAUUGACUAAGGUUUCCAGAGGAAGGCUCGUCCGCUCUGGGUUAGUCGGGUCCUAAGCUGAGGCCGACAGGCGUAGGCGAUGGAUAACAGGUUGAUAUUCCUGUACCACCUAUAAUCGUUUUAAUCGAUGGGGGGACGCAGUAGGAUAGGCGAAGCGUGCGAUUGGAUUGCACGUCUAAGCAGUAAGGCUGAGUAUUAGGCAAAUCCGGUACUCGUUAAGGCUGAGCUGUGAUGGGGAGAAGACAUUGUGUCUUCGAGUCGUUGAUUUCACACUGCCGAGAAAAGCCUCUAGAUAGAAAAUAGGUGCCCGUACCGCAAACCGACACAGGUAGUCAAGAUGAGAAUUCUAAGGUGAGCGAGCGAACUCUCGUUAAGGAACUCGGCAAAAUGACCCCGUAACUUCGGGAGAAGGGGUGCUCUUUAGGGUUAACGCCCAGAAGAGCCGCAGUGAAUAGGCCCAAGCGACUGUUUAUCAAAAACACAGGUCUCUGCUAAACCGUAAGGUGAUGUAUAGGGGCUGACGCCUGCCCGGUGCUGGAAGGUUAAGAGGAGUGGUUAGCUUCUGCGAAGCUACGAAUCGAAGCCCCAGUAAACGGCGGCCGUAACUAUAACGGUCCUAAGGUAGCGAAAUUCCUUGUCGGGUAAGUUCCGACCCGCACGAAAGGCGUAACGAUUUGGGCACUGUCUCAACGAGAGACUCGGUGAAAUCAUAGUACCUGUGAAGAUGCAGGUUACCCGCGACAGGACGGAAAGACCCCGUGGAGCUUUACUGUAGCCUGAUAUUGAAAUUCGGCACAGCUUGUACAGGAUAGGUAGGAGCCUUUGAAACGUGAGCGCUAGCUUACGUGGAGGCGCUGGUGGG